AUACGGAGGAUGCAAGCGUUAUCCGGAUUUAUUGGGUUUAAAGGGUGCGUAUGCGGUUUGCUAAGCGGGAGGUGAAAUGCCGGCGCUCAACGUCGGAAGUGCCUCCCGAACUGGUGGACUUGAAUGACUCUGCCGUGGGAGGAAUGUGUAGUGUAGCGGUGAAAUGCUUAGAGAUUACACAGAACACCGAUUGCGAAGGCAUCUCACGAAGGGUUGAUUGACGCUGAGGCACGAAAGCGUGGGGAUCAAACAGGAUUAGAUACCCUGGUAGUCCACGCAGUAAACGAUGAUGGCUAACCGCUGGGCUUAUCAGUUCAGUGGCCAAGCGAAAGCGAUAAGCCAUCCACCUGGGGAGUACGACCGCAAGGUUGAAACUCAAAGGAAUUGACGGGG
rnacentral:rRNA from 1 species